rnacentral:rRNA from 1 species
GUUGGGGCGUGCCUAAUACAUGCAAGUCGAACGAACUCUGGUAUAGAAUGGGCUUGCAUCAUGAUUUACAUUUGAGUGAGUGGGAACUGGUGAGUAACACGUGGGAAACCUGCCCAGAAGCGGGGGAUAACUUGGAAACAGAUGCUAAUACCGCAUAACAACUUGGACCGCAUGGUCCGAGUUGAAAGAUGGCUUCGGCUAUCACUUUUGGAUGGUCCCGCGGCGUAUUAGCUAGAUGGUGGGGUAACGGCUCACCAUGGCAAUGAUACGUAGCCGACCUGAGAGGGUAAUCGGCCACAUUGGGACUGAGACACGGCCCAAACUCCUACGGGAGGCAGCAGUAGGGAAUCUUCCACAAUGGACGAAAGUCUGAUGGAGCAACGCCGCGUGAGUGAAGAAGGGUUUCGGCUCGUAAAACUCUGUUGUUAAAGAAGAACAUAUCUGAGAGUACUGUUCAGGUAUUGACGGUAUUUAACCAGAAAGCCACGGCUAACUA